AUUGAACGCUGGCGGCAGGCCUAACACAUGCAAGUCGAACGAGUGGCGGACGGGUGAGUAAUGUCUGGGAAACUGCCUGAUGGAGGGGGAUAACUACUGGAAACGGUAGCUAAUACCGCAUACCCUCAGAUGUGUCCAGAUGGGAUUAGCUAGUUGGUGGGGUAACGGCUCACCAAGGCGACGAUCCCUAGCUGGUCUGAGAGGAUGACCAGCGACACUGGAAAGGAGACACGGUCCAGAUGCAGACGGGUGGCAGCAGUGGGGAAUAGGGCACAAGGGGCGAAAGCAUGAUGCAGCCAUGCCGGGUGGAUGAAGAAGGCCUGCGGGUUGUAAAGUACUUUCAGAGGGGAGGCGUUAUCCGAAGAAGAAGCACCGGCUAACUCCGUGCCAGCAGCCGCGGUAAUUC
rnacentral:rRNA from 1 species